rnacentral:ncRNA from 1 species
GCGAGCUAUGCGUCCGCCGAGAGGUGUUAGAAAAGUUACCACAGGGAUAACUAGCUUGUGGCGGCCGAGCGUUCGCAGCGACGUCGCUUUUGAUCCUUCGAUGUCGGUUCUUCGUAUCAUUGCGAAGCAGAAUUCGGAAAGCGUUGGAUUGUUCUCCCACUAACAGGGAACGUGAGCUGGGUUAGACCGUUCGGAGACAGGUUAGUUUUAUCCUACCGAUG